CUUUGUCGGUUUUGGCGGUCAAUGCCUUGACCUGAGCUUCAGCAAGAUCACGCACGUCGACAUAGUUAAAGAAUUUGGAUUCCGGAGCUACUUCGUAUCUUCCUUUAAUUAAUUGCCAAAAGAACCAUGUAGAGAAAUUCAAAUUAUCCACGGACUGGAGAUGAAACACUGGGCCCAGAAUUAAAGGCGGGUUAAGAGCAAUUG